GACGAACGCUGGCGGCGUGCUUAACACAUGCAAAUCGAACGGAAAGGCCCUGCUUUUGUGGGGUGCUCGAGUGGCGAACGGGUGAGUAACACGUGAGUAACCUGCCCUUGACUUUGGGAUAACUUCAGGAAACUGGGGCUAAUACCGGAUAGGAGCUCCUGCUGCAUGGUGGGGGUUGGAAAGUUUCGGCGGUUGGGGAUGAACUCGCGGCUUAUCAGCUUGUUGGUGGGGUAGUGGCCUACCAAGGCUUUGACGGGUAGCCGGCCUGAGAGGGUGACCGGCCACAUUGGGACUGAGAUACGGCCCAGACUCCUACGGGAGGCAGCAGUGGGGAAUAUUGCACAAUGGGCGGAAGCCUGAUGCAGCAACGCCGCGUGCGGGAUGACGGCCUUCGGGUUGUAAACCGCUUUCGCCUGUGACGAAGCGUGAGUGACGGUAAUGGGUAAAGAAGCACCGGCUAACUACGUG
rnacentral:rRNA from 1 species